AAGAGAGGCUCGACAGCAAUGAAGACUGCUAAUCUUCUCCCCCUUGGUUAAACUCCAAGGCUCACUUA
rnacentral:tRNA from 1 species